UCUUAGUGGCGAACGGGUGAGUAACGCGUGAGUAACCUGCCCUAGAGUGGGGGACAACAGUUGGAAACGACUGCUAAUACCGCAUAAGACCACGGUACCGCAUGGUACAGUGGUAAAAACUCCGGUGGUAUGAGAUGGACCCGCGUCUGAUUAGGUAGUUGGUGGGGUAACGGCCUACCAAGCCGACGAUCAGUAGCCGACCUGAGAGGGUGACCGGCCACAUUGGGACUGAGACACGGCCCAG
rnacentral:rRNA from 1 species